CGGCAUUAUUAAUUAAGAUUUAAUUUUAUGAAUUUCAGGCCAAAAGAUGUUUAAGAUGGUUAAUAUCCUUCAUCUCCUAAAUCCGAAUGACGAUUUCUAAGACCUGUUUUAUCAGGGUUGGUAGGUUGCUGAAUAAAUAAGCCAAACAUUGUUAUAAACGGCCCUUUGAUGCCUUUGUUUCGAACAAAGGAAACAAAGGUUAUGAUAAUAAUAUUUGGCUUAUUUAUUCAGCAACUUACCAACCCUGUGUUUUAUACAGGACGUCGAAUUUCGGUCGCGUCGAAUGCAAUUGAAACAAUAGAUAAUGAAGCUUAAUGAGGUUUAUCAUCUCAUUACCUAUUGUCUUAAUUGCAUUCGACGCGACCAAAAUUCGACGUAUAAAACAAGCCUACGUAAGAACUGUUGUCACAUUAUAUACUAGCGUAAUCACAUUGGUAAAACAGAUAUAGGCCAACAUAUAGAAGAUGCACGUAGUACAACAAAUAUGCAUUUUAUAUCCUCGUACCCAGGGUUUGUUUGUGAGUGUGAGAGAAAAUAUUAGGAUGUUAGGGUUUGUAAUCCAAGUGAGAAUAUAUACAUUUUAAGACCUAACCAGGAACGACUGCGAAAAAUGCAGCACAAGGUCCUCUGGUAGGAAAUGAACCUACUGUAAAAAUUGGUUAAAACACUCAAUAAAUU